rnacentral:rRNA from 1 species
UACAGAGACUGCGAGCGUUAUUCGGAUUCACUGGGCGUAAAGGGUGCGCAGGCGGCCAAGUGUGUGAGGUGUGAAAGCCCGGGGCUUAACCCCGGAAUUGCACCUCAAACUACAUGGCUAGAGCAUUGGAGAGGGUAGCAGAAUUCACGGUGUAGCAGUGAAAUGCGUAGAUAUCGUGAGGAAUACCAGAGGCGAAGGCGGCUACCUGGACAAUUGCUGACGCUCAGGCACGAAAGCGUGGGGAGCAAACAGG